GGUAGAGCACUGAAUUUCCGCGGGGGCGUCAAAGCUUACCAAAGAAUAUCAAACUCCGAAUGCCAUGUAGAUGAUGAUCGGGAGUCAGACUGCACGAGAUAAGUUGGGCAGUCAAAAGGGAAAGAGCCCAGACCACCGGCUAAGGUCCCAAAGUGCGUGUUAAGUGGAAAAGGAUGUGGGAAUUCGAAGACAACUAGGAUGUUGGCUCAGAAGCAGCCAUACAUUCAAAGAGUGCGUAACAGCUCACUAGUCGAGAGUUCCUGCGCCGAAAAUGUCCGGGGCUGAAACACGACACCGAAGCCGUGGACUCGCAAUGCGAGUGGUAGAGGAGCAUUCUUAAAACCGACGAAGCUGUACCGUAAGGAGCAGUGGAGGGAUAAGAAGAGAGAAUGCCGGAAUGAGUAGCGAGAGAAAGGUGGGAAUCCUUUCGGCCGAAUAUCUAAGGUUUCCAGAGUAAAGCUGAUCUGCUCUGGGUAAGUCGGGGCCUAAGCACAGGUCGCAAGACGUAAGCGAUGGAUAACAGGUUUAGAUUCCUGUACCACGCAUUAUCAGAACUGUAGGGACGCAUGUGGAAAGCACGAGCCGGGAAUGGAAAGACCGGUACAAGCGAGGUAGGUGUACAAUAGGCAAAUCCGUUGUAUAAUCCGAAGACGUGAUGUGGAGCGAAAUAAAGUAGUGAAGCGUGUGAGCCAUGUGCCGAGAAAAGCUGCUAUUGUGUAAUGCGUGCCCGUACCGUAAACCGACACAGGUGGAUGAGGAGAGAAUCCUAAGGCCGGCGGAAGAAGCAUUGUUAAGGAAUUCGGCAAAAUGACCCCGUAACUUCGGGAGAAGGGGUGCCUGCGAGAGCAGGCCGCAGAGAAUAGGCUCAAGCAACUGUUUAGCAAAAACACAGGUCUAUGCGAAACCGAAAGGUGAAGUAUAUGGGCUGACGCCUGCCCGGUGCUGGAAGGUUAAGAGGAGAGGUUAGCGCAAGCGAAGCUUUGAAUUUAAGCCCCAGUAAACGGCGGCCGUAACUAUAACGGUCCUAAGGUAGCGAAAUUCCUUGUCGGGUAAGUUCCGACCCGCACGAAAGGCGUAAUGAUUUGAGCACUGUCUCGACAAUGCAUCCGGUGAAAUUGAAGUACCAGUGAAGAUGCUGGUUACCCGCGCCAGGACGGAAAGACCCCAUGGAGCUUUACUCCAGUUUGAUACUGGGAUUCGGUACUGCAUGUACAGGAUAGGUGGGAGACGAAGAAGGAUGGACGCCAGUCUGUCCGGAGUCGCUGUUGGGAUACCACCCCUGUAGUACUGGGUUUCUAACCAGUUACCAUGAUCUGGUAAUGGGACAAUGUCAGGCGGGGAGUUUGACUGGGGCGGUCGCCUCCGAAAGGGUAUCGGAGGCGCUCAAAGGUUCCCUCAGAAUGGUUGGAAACCAUUUGAAGAGUGCAAAGGCAGAAGGGAGCUUGACUGCGACACCGACGGGUGGAGCAGGUACGAAAGUAGGACUUAGUGAUCCGGUGGUAUGAAAGUGGGAUUGCCAUCGCUCAACGGAUAAAAGCUACCCUGGGGAUAACAGGCUUAUCACUCCCAAGAGUUCACAUCGACGGAGUGGUUUGGCACCUCGAUGUCGGCUCAUCGCAUCCUGGGGCUGUAGUAGGUCCCAAGGGUUGGGCUGUUCGCCCAUUAAAGCGGUACGCGAGCUGGGUUCAGAACGUCGUGAGACAGUUCGGUCCCUAUCCGGCGCGGGCGGAGGAUAUUUGAGAGGAGCUGUCCUUAGUACGAGAGGACCGGGAUGGACGGACCACUGGUGUAUCUGUUGUCGACCAACGGCAUGGCAGAGUAGCCAAGUCUGGAAGGGAUAAACGCUGAAGGCAUCUAAGCGUGAAGCCCCCCUCAAGAUGAGAUAUCCCUCCUUCGGGAGUAAGACCCCUUGAAGACUACAAGGUAGAUAGGGCAGAGGUGGAAGCAUGGCAACAUGUGGAGCUGACUGUUACUAAUAGGUCGAGGGCUUAAUCU
rnacentral:rRNA from 1 species